AUGCUAGAUGAUUUGCCAUGUAUUGAGUGCAAUUAUGGCUCUAGUAUUGAUAAUGAGUUUGCACCCAUAGCAUUCUCACAUAUAUUUGGAGAUUUUGACAUAUUCCUUAUGAAGCAUGCUUGUCUUACCUCUUUGCACCAUAUACCUAGUGCCAUGAAUAUUGCCAUUGUUGCAUCAUAUUCUUCACGCACUUGUGCUUAUAAUGGUUAUGUGCAAGAGAAGAGAAUCAUCAUGAUGGAUGAUGUGUUUAUCUACCAUGCGCAUACAUUCUUUGCUUUCUUGUGUGCAUGUGUAGGAUACGUGGACUUUGUGUCGACUUCCGCUUCACGUGAGUUGACAAUUCGAGCUCUUGAGAGCGAGCCGCAUACAUUCGACAAUGACUCGCUUCUACACCACCUUUCAUACCACUUCGGCAUUGUGAAGGACGCACAAGGACACACCUUCAAGGUGACAUCUUUCUUGAGCAUGGAUAUGACGGAUCAUACUACUUGUGUUGCUUGCACCAUGAGACUUCUUGUUCAUAUUGGACCACUUGAUUACACACAUGUUAGAGAUCUUGCUUCCACUUGUCAUUCUCACCGUUCCAUGCAUCAUGAUAUAUAUGCCUUGUGUGUUGCAUCCAAUUCUUGGAUUACUUGCUCCCCUCAUAUGUUUGGUUGCAACAAUGUCAUCACUUCACAUAUGCCAUGUCCCAUUGAUUGCUACAUGCUUGCCUUGAUUGCCUCACACAUGAUGAACAAUUGCUCUUUCCAUUGUGUUGAGUGCCACAUGAUAUUCACUACACCCAAUGCACAUUAUGCUUGGAUUGUCUUGCACUUGACCCAUGUGUUUAGACACUUCACUCUAUUUGGUGUUGUGAAUGAUUCCUGUGCCUACCAUAGACCUUUCAUUGAGCAAUUUGUGAAUGCUUGCUAUGAUCUUGGGGUAGAUGCUUAUUCUCUUGUUACACAUAUUUGCAUCACUACCUCACAUUUACAUGCUUGUCCCCAUGAUAUCUUUGAUUGUGCCCAAUUUAUAUGCUUAUAUGCCAUGUCACAAUCCUUUGUCAAACCAUAUGCUUUGAAUGAUGACGACACUUGUUUCGUGACUCACCUAUCGAAUGCUUGGUUUUGCACUAACGCUAACCACAUUUGUUUUUCCAAGUGUUUGUUGUCUUUGCUACUUUUGAAGGAAUCCCAAGAUGGUGCGACAUUGGAAAGUGCCCAUUUCGAGCUUCAAGAUGACGAGAACUUGGUGAUCGACCACUCCUACACGGCGGCGCCGUCUCUUUCCCAUGGUGAUUUGGAUUUCGAUCCGAGGUCGGAUCUUUCCCAAGGGAGGGGAGAUGAUGCGGAGCAUCCUAUGGACAUCACCAUGUCAAGAGUCCAUUUGGCAAGUGACACAUGCGACAUCUACUUCACAUACAUAAAGGUGAAUCAUCUCCUUUACAUGUGCUCACAUGACCCCUUCGAGGAUGGUAUACUACUUGACACCCCUCUCGUGUGCAUGCAUAGGUAUUGUCGGAACACUACGAACGACGAGGAGGAGUGCAAGCGCCAAGGAACAAGUACACCAUCCGCGAAGGAAGCAUGCAAGCGACGACGGAAGAAGACGGAGAUAGCCUCCAGGACCCGAACAUCCGGCCCUGGCCCGGACAUUCGGCCCCUGGACGUGUCACCAGCAGCAAGGAGCCAGCGGCCAGGUCUACAGGGCCCGGACAUCCGGCGACCAGCCCGGACAUCCGGCGCAUCCCGAGCCCCCGAACAUCCGGCCUUCAGCUCGGAAAUCCAGACCCCGCCAUUCCAGAGAGCAACAAGGUUGGACCCUGCCAGCCCGGACAUCCGGCCCCAGCGCCCGGACAUCCGGCCCCCCUACCUGCAUGCAGCGCAUCUGGGCCGUGGCCCAUGUACCCCUUCGCCCCUUAGACUAUAUAUACUCCCCCUCCACCUACGUUUUAGGGUUAGCGUUGUGAUAGCUCAUUUGAGAGAUAGAGCUUCGCUCAUCCAUAUCGAAUCUACUCCACGAGAGAGACCAUGGCCCCUCUACGGAGAAGAUCCACCUUGGAUUCAAGACCCCUCACGGGAAGAUCCCCUUGUGGAUUCAAGACCUCCUCACGGAGAAGAACCGGUUACCUCUUGUAUCGUCCGUUGUUGA
rnacentral:rRNA from 1 species